GAAACUUUCAAGGCUUAUUACGCCGGGAAAGCCUACGAAUUUCGCAGGAAAAGUACCAUCACCAUGGAACUACGCUUUUGUUUGAGGAGGCUCUUAGAUAAAAUCGCAGAAUCCUGAAAGUGGUGCUUUCAUUCCGAAAUACACAUAGAUCUGACAAAGCAAUAUUAUGAACGUUUGACGAUUGUUGCUGAUAACGUAAAAGAACAUAUGAUUUUUGGUGCCAUACCUGUUCACGUGCUAGGAACGACAUCACACGUAAAAGUUUGAAAAGGCUGCGCAAACUAUCUCUUACAAGAGACAUCUUAUAGCGGUCUGUUCCACAAUUUAACAGCUGUGCAGCUGUGGCUUAUCUCAUCUGUUUCCGAGGGUUUGUUUACGUUACUAUGAGUGAUGCUUCGCCACCAGUGACGAUAUCAUUAUAUGGUGGAAGGUGUACAAGUGUCAAUUUUGAAUGUUGUCCACCAAUAAUAAUUGAGAUUUCAACAGUUUCUGAUGUUAAUGAUCAAAAGGACUUGGAAAGUGGGAGAUGAGCGGACUCUAAAAUGAAUGAAGCCUGCAUAAGUCACAAAACUGAUCGUCACCAGCUUACAGGCUUUCCAGAAACAAUGUUAUAUACUCAACUAAGUGUGGUAUGGAAUAAAACACUGGAUUUGGAAGUAGUACAGCGAGAACAUUAACGGGGCUAUCGAAGAAGAAAUUGACCCAUUUGUAAUUUAUGUCAAUUAGCAAAUUUAUGGUAUAUUUGUAUUUUUAAGAUGCAACGUGAGUACUUAAUUUAUGAACAUUUUUAAGUAUUGCAGAAUAAUCAGGCAUAAAAAUUUUACGCACGUUGAGUAUUUGACGAAAGUGCUUUGUAAAUAUUGGCUUGAUCUAACUAAACCCUUACUAACUGUUCUGCCAUUUUUCGUUUCAGUAUAUGAUCUGACGUGAAUUUCUCUUACGCGUUAUUGAUGUAUCUUGAUAAUUAUUUGUUGAUCUUCCCACUAUGAUCAUAUUGGGUGGAAAGCCAUAACAAUACAGUAUUGGUGCAUACGUAGUUAUGAAGUAACUCACAUUAUUUACUUUUGGAUUCAGAGUGCGUUUAAAAAUAUUCACAAGGAAAUCUCAUUCAGGGAGUUCCAUUAGAGGAAGCCAAUCUCAUAACAUUUAAGAAGGAAGCCAAUCUCAUAACAUUUAAGAUAUCAACGCAUAUAUUACUUGCAAGAAAUCUUUUGUUCUGUUUCAAGUUUUGUCAGUUUGGAGACUGUAUUGAUAAAUUAUUGGACAUGGCUAUUAUGCAUGUUCCUUCAACUCACUACCACUUCCCUACCUUUUCCUGAAAAGUUAGAAAUAUCGAUGUAUUGUUCAGUCAGUGUGCCAAGAUAGCAUCGCGUCGUAAAUUGCAACAUUAUUUGAAGUACAUGUUAUGUUCCGGCUGAAGAUGAAAGAAACUCUUCGUCAGUUGCUUACACGCAAUAAACAUUUCUCUUACGCGUUAUUGUUGUAUCUUGAUAAUUAUUUUGUUGAUCUACCAACUAUGGUCAUGUUGGAUGGAAAGCCAUAACAAUAUAGUGUUAGUAUAUACAUAGUUAUGAAGUAACAAACAUUAUUUGCUUUCGGAUAUUUUCAGUAACAGUAAAACAAUUCUUUAGUAUGAUUUCUUUCUAUCUGAGGACAGAUUCGGCUCCCAACAGAAGCAUCAUGAAUCAAAGCCGUGUAGAAAUUAGAAGAAACAGAAUUUCUUGCUGCUCAAUAAAUUUAUAUGUAUGCUGCAGCUGCAAGGAAACUGGAAGUAGAGUGUGAAUGGUCAGAUUAACUUAUAAUUUAUUGUUUGUUAGCAAACAUGUUUCCAGAUUAAUCUGCGAGUCAAUUGCCUUUCCGUUUGAAAGACAUGUUUACUUCUUUUAAUUUGUUCAUGACCGAACAUUAAUAUAUAAAUUAUUUGUAAACUCUAAUGUAUGAAAAUAUGUACGAGGAAAUUUCCUUAGAAAUGUACGAUGUAACAAAAGUUUUUCAACGUAAAGUCAAUUUCUUUAGUGUCACAAAUUACAGAACUUAAAAAAAAAUGCAGACGUAUAAUAUCGCUUCAAAACGAAAUUGUCUCAGUCUCUAUUUCCUUACUUUUCACAAAUUAAUUUCGAUAUUUAUUUUCAAAGAAUCUGCAAAGUAAUGAGGAUAUUACUACACAGAAUAAAUUAAAGGAUAAACUGUCACGCUUAUUUUGAAAUGGCACUGCUCAAACAGCUGAAAAUUUAUAUUUUAAUGAAGUUUACUACAGAAUGUACUACAUUGUUCUAUAUUCAUUCAUGUGUAUGUUUGUCUGUGCUAGGCCAGAAUGUGCUUCAUUGUUCUAUGUUUAUAUGUAUGCUGCAGCUGCAAGGAAACUGGAAGUAGAGUGUGAAUGGUCAGAUUAACUUAUAAUUUAUUGUUUGUUAGCAAACAUGUUUAUAAAAGUUCAAAUUCCAAUUCAAUGAAGUGUUCUGACAUUAAUUCAAAUGUGAGUAUUUCUUUUAUAAUGUAAACGGUUAACAUACACUGAAGUUCUUAACUUUGAAGGGCUAAAAACAAAAACAAACAAGACAGAAGUAGAAAUAGGAUAAAAUGGUUCUCAACAAGUGAAAUAAGAUCUCAUAAACUGUUAUGUAUCUUGAAUACAAAGUUAUAAUAUUGUAAAAGAUUGUGUUGUAUUGUCAUUUUGUAUUUUGAUGAAGUAACUUACGAUAUAUUUAAAUAACUGAACAUAACAAAGUGUUUCUCAGCAAGUCAGGUAAAACCUUAAAAACAGGAACUAUCUCGUACUACUGUAAAUGACUGUAUUAUAUUUUCGUAUUGGAAAUCAUGAAUAUUGCUUAGGAUACAUGGAAAUAUUUGAAUAAAUAAUAAUAAAUACAGCUGUCAGCGUAAUGAAAAUGUAUUUUGUAUACUAUUCAUAGCCAUGUUGUGUAAACGAAAAUACCACUCAAACAUUAGGAACGUCGUAAAUCCCUCCAGCCUUUGUUGCCAAUAGAUUAACCCCGAUAACGGAGCUGCUUUUUAUUCAAGGAGCUUCUUAUUUGGACUCUCAAGACUGAGUGGACCCAGUCACAGGCCUACUUAUCUUCGAAAAAAUCUGAGGAGUCACUAGGAAUCAAACCUGGGUCCUUUCUCACCGAAGGAAACAACGCUGAACUUUUUUUUCAUCUGCCACUACACUUUAUAUUCCCAUUUAUUUCUUAUA